ensembl:lncRNA
CCCCCUUCCCACCUACAACCUCCUAAACAGAACAAAUACUGUAAUACAGACGACUACACCAAACACACACACACACACAUCACACCACUACAGGAACCAAACCUAGCCUGGGUUGUGAACAAGAAGGAUGGGGGGGAGAUCGAUAAUAACAGAAAAAUGAGAACAAGAGAAAGGUAGAGUGAGAGGAAUUAUUGCUAUCGCUGGAUACAGCAGAGAAAACAGGAGAGGACACACACAGCUGCAGUCACACACUCCAAACAGACGCCUACAACUCCCAGCAACCCUGGCAGUGGACGGGGCUUAUGAUGGUGUGGAGGGUGGAGGGAUUGGAUGAACUUGAUUGAGCUCCGACCACACUGCACCAGGGUGAAGUUUCCACUAGGGACAGAUCUAGGAUCAGCUUCCCCUCCCCCAGUCAUAACUGAACAUGACAGGACUGCAGUGGACAGCUGCUGUCUUGCAGGCUCCUGACCAAUUCUGCCCCCCCCCACCAUUUUUUUUUUAGUGGUCUUAACUUAUUUAUUUUACAUAAUGUUUCCGAGAUCAUUUCCUACAACCGAAAACAUCUUCUGGACAUCAGAACAGCGAUCACUAACCUCGAUUUGGAUUUGGAUUUCUACUUCAACGAGUCGGCAGCUGUGGAUGUACUGCUCGUUCCGGACCAGGCCCUAAUCCACGGGGACUGGAAAGAGGAAGAGAGGCAGACGAGCUAAAUAAACCACCUCUACAACCUCAUCUUCCUCGUCUCCUCCUCCUCCUCCUCUCCGCUGUUCUAUUGUACACUGGAGAACAACCCGGACGAGAUCCAUUCGAGACUAUCCCAUCAACAAGACGCCAACAACCCGGACGAGAUCCAUUCGAGACUAUCCUAUCAACAAGACCCCAACAACCCGGACGAGAUCCAUUCGAGACUAUCCCAUCAACAAGACCCCAACAACCCGGAUGAGAUCCAUUCGAGACUAUCCUAUCAACAAGACCCCAACAACCCGGACGAGAUCCAUUCGAGACUAUCCUAUCAACAAGACCCCAACAACCCGGACGAGAUCCAUUCGAGACUAUCCUAUCAACAAGACCCCAACAACCCGGACGAGAUCCAUUCGAGACUAUCCCAUCAACAAGACCCCAACAACCCGGACGAGAUCCAUUCGAGACUAUCCCAUCAACAAGACCCCAACAACCCGGACGAGAUCCAUUCGAGACUAUCCCAUCAACAAGACCCCAACAACCUGGAUGAGAUCCAUUCAAGACUAUCCCAUCAACAAGACCCCAACAACCCGGACGAGAUCCAUUCGAGACUAUCCUAUCAACAAGACCCCAACAACCUGGACGAGAUCCAUUCGAGACUAUCCCAUCAACAAGACCCCAACAACCUGGAUGAGAUCCAUUCGAGACUAUCCCAUCAACAAGACCCCAACAACCUGGAUGAGAUCCAUUCGAGACUAUCCCAUCAACAAGACCCCAACAACUGUAAUAUCCUAUGCUUUUCAGAAUCAUGACUGAAUAAGGACAUUAUAAACUGAGUGUACAAAACAUUAGGAACACAUGCUCUUUUCCAUGACAUAGACUGACCAGGUGAAUCCAGGUGAAAGCUAUGAUCCCUCAUUGAUAGCUCAGCAUUCAACACCAUUGUGCCCUUCAAACUCAUCACUAAGAUCAGGACCCUGGGACUGAACACCUCCCUCUGCAAGUGGAUCCCGGACUUCCUGACGGGCCGCCCCCAGGUGGUAAGGGUAGGUGACAACACAUCCACCACGCUGACUCUCAACAAGGGGACCCCUCAGGGGUGAUUCCUGUACCCCCUGUUCACCCACGAUUGCAUGACUCCAACACCAUCAUUAGGUUUACUGACGACUCGACGGUGGUUGGCCUGAUGAGACAGCCUAUAGGGAGGAGGUCAGAGACCUGGCAGUGUGGUGUCAGGACAACAACCUCUCCCUCAACGAUGAGACAGCCUAUAGGGAGGAGGUCAGCCGAGCACAUUGAUGGGGCUGCAGUGGAGCGAGUCGAGAGUUUAAAGUUCCUUGGUGUCCACAUCAAUAAGGAAUUAUCAUGGUCCACACACACACAAUACAGUCGUGAAGAGAGCAUGACAACGCCUCUUUCCUCUCAGGAAGAAGAUUCAGCAUGAGUCCUCAGAUCCUCAGAAAGUUCUACAGCUGCGCCAUUGAGAGCAUCUUGACUGGCUGCUUCACCACUUGGUAUGGUAACGGCUUGGCAUCUGACCGUAAGACGCUACAGAAGGUAGUGUGUACGGCCCAGUUCAUCACUGGGACCAAGCUUCCUGCCAUCAAGGACCUCUAUCCCAGGUGGUGUCAGAGGAAGGUCCUAACAAUAGUCAAAGACUCCAGCCACCCCAGUCACAGACAGUUCUCUCUGCUACCGCACGGCGAGCGGUUCCGAUGCACCAAGUCUGGAACCAACAGGAUCCUGAACAGCUUCGACCUCCAAGGCAUAAGACUACUAAAUAGUUAGUUAAAUAGUUAGUUAAAUAGUUAGUUAAAUAGCUACCCAGAUUGAUCUGCAUUGAACCUUAUUCCACUAACUUUUUUUGGACUCUUCACAUACACUGCUGCUACGGUUUAUUAUCUAUCCUGCUGCUUAGUCACUUUAUCCCUAUAUGUACAUAUCGACCUCAAUUACAUCGUACACCUGCACAUCGACUGGGUACUGGCAGUGGUGGAAAGUACCCAAUUGUCAUACUUGAGUAAAAGUAAUGAUACCUUAAUUGAAAAUGACUCAAGUAAAAGUAAAGGUCACCUAGUAAAAUACUACUUGAGUUAAAGUCUAAAAAUAUUUGGUUUAAAAUGUACUUAAUUAUCAAAAAUAUAUGUAAUUGUUAAAAUAUACUUAAGUAUCAAAAGUAAAAGUAAAAGUAUAAAUAAUUUCAAAUUCCUUAUAUUUAGCAAACCAGACGGCACAGUUUACUUGUUUGCAAAAUUUACAGGUAACCAGGGGAACACUCCAACACUCAGACAUCAUUUACAGACAGCCAGGGGAACACUCCAACACUCAGACAUCAUUUACAGACAGCCAGGGGAACACUCCAACACUCAGACAUCAUUUACAGAUAGCCAGGGGAACACUCCAACACUCAGACAUCAUUACAGAUAGCCAGGGAACACUCCAACACUCA